rnacentral:rRNA from 1 species
ACGUAGGUGGCAAGCGUUGUCCGGAUUUACUGGGCGUAAAGGGAGCGUAGGCGGAUUUUUAAGUGGGAUGUGAAAUACCCGGGCUUAACCUGGGUGCUGCAUUCCAAACUGGAAGUCUAGAGUACAGGAGGGGAAAGCGGAAUUCCUAGUGUAGCGGUGAAAUGCGUAGAGAUUAGGAAGAACACCAGUGGCGAAGGCGGCUUUCUGGACUGUAACUGACGCUGAGGCUCGAAAGCGUGGGGAGCGAACAG